rnacentral:rRNA from 1 species
UAGACACUAGCCAAGUAUGAAUAAGCGGCCACAUUAAAUGGCCCCAAGCACCCGUAGCCUUCUGGUAAUGUGUCUUAGGUUGGGGCGACCACGGGAGACAGAAAAGCUCCCGAGCAGAGCAGGGGACAUCCCUGAAACUAAGAGUAACAACUCUAAGUCGCAAAAGUUUUGACUGAAGUGAUCCGGCCUAAUAGCCGAUUGACGAACCAAGUUACCCUAGGGAUAACAGCGCAAUCCUCUCCCAGAGUCCCUAUCGACGAGAGGGUUUACGACCUCGAUGUUGGAUCAGGACAUCCUAAUGGUGCAGCCGCUAUUAAG